rnacentral:rRNA from 1 species
GACAGAGGUGCCAAGCGUUAGGCGGAAUCACUGGGCUUAAAGCGUGUGUAGGCGGACUUGUAAGUACCUUGUGAAAUCCCACAGCUCAACUGUGGAACUGCUUGGUAUACUGCUUGUCUUGAGCCACUUAGGGGCUACCGGAACAAAUGGUGGAGCGGUGAAAUGCGUAGAUAUCAUUUGGAACGCCAAUGGUGAAAACAGGUAGCUGGGAGUGUGCUGACGCUGAGACACGAAAGCCAGGGGAGCGAACGGG